AAGCUACUUCAGAGUUGUAUGCGAUUUAAUCGAGUCAUAUGACGCAGUUUGGGAGUGCUUCUUCGCAACAGAUUUUCGAAGUUAAUUGAGCUUAUUUGGUGACCUUGGGGACUGGUUUAGAAGGUGUUCUACCCUGUGCGGGAGGGUAAUUGACCCUUGGACCGUCUUCGACUGACAUUGGAGGGCCUUUUGGAAGCUUAACUUGAGCAGGGCUGAGGCUUGAUUGAGCUGAAUUUCGGAGCUCUUGUGGACCAAUUUGAGCCUAAUAAUAGAGCCAUCUAUAGGAGAGGCUAGGGA